GUUUUGGUUAUCGACCUAGAUUCCUGCGUAGCCCCGUGUUUGCCUGUUUGCCAAUCACCUGACCUCUUGCAUGUUUAUGUAUUACGUUUUGGAUCACGCUUUGGAUUUGUCUGCCUGUCUCUCUUUCAAAUAAACAACUGUUCAUCCUGCACUUGCAUCCGUCCUAUCUCUGCUCCAUCACGAUUCGUGACAAUAUCCAAAAUACUACACCGUGUGCAAGGGGCAGGGGAAACUCGUAUCAGCACAGAGACCAGGAGUGGUGGGUGAUCAUCCUGAUAGUGCUGGUGGUGGAGGUGCUGCUGCUGGUUGUUGGAGUCUUUGUGAUAAUCCUGUGCCUGAGGAAACGACUUGAGUCCUUCCUAAUGGAACCUAGGAACAGAGAGAUGAGCACAGAAACAACAGGGAAUAACAGUGACUGCGUUUACAUGGACAACAAUAAUCCACUCUUAAUCUAAUUAAGACCAUAAUUUGAUUAAGAAACUACCAUGUAAACAGCAACCUUAAUCUAAUUAUGGUCAUAAUCUAAUUAAGCUCUAAUCGAAUUAAGACGUGUGGAGUACUCCUGUUUUAAUCGUAUUAUGGACGUGCAUUACAGACAUGUAAACACCUUAAUCACAUUAUGAACGUCGUGUGAGCAUUUUCACCGCAUUUUACGACAGGACACGAUCACACAUGGCAGUUUUACGCUUUACGGCGAACAAGAGAGUCCGGCUGUGUCCCAAACUGCAUACUUGCCUACUAUAGGCCGGUAGUGGGGAAAAAUACAUGCAUCUCGGCUACUAUACAGUAGGUAAGUAUGCGAUUUGAGACGCAGCCCACGGCUUCAAGCAAUCGUCUAUUUGCACGUAUAGCAUGACUAAUAAUUAACCGCACUUGAAGCGUUCGUAAAAAAUUUAAAUAAAAACACCCAAAACUGUAUACGGUACCAUAACGAGUACGAACUGUAUGUUGAUACGUGAAAUUCUGGAGGGACGUCGGACGGCGUGGCGCGGUGACGUAAUGACGCGGGCUCUUAAUCUAAUUAUGACCAAUAACAUGUAAAACGGGUACAUGACUGGAGUAUUCUAAAAGUGACUCAUGUAAACACCUUAAUCACAUUAUUACCUUACUUAGAUUAAGGUCAAUAAUUAGAUUAUUGCUGUCCAUGUAAACGUAGUCAGUGAUAAGAAACCUCUGGAUGAAGAUGAAGGUCUACACCUGGAUGAAUCUGACACAGCGCUGGACUCACACAGAGAGACUCAGAAAUCUUCAGGCCUCAUUUAUAAAGAGUUUCCCUCACAGAAACUGGGAUUUAUAAAGAAAUACUUGGGUCGACACAUGGGGCAAAGCUUCUGUAAAUAUACGCCCAAUUUCACACCAUCAGUAACAAUUUAGAAACAGCAGGCAUUAGCGGCACCCUGUGGAUGUGUAGAGAAUUACAGCUAAAUGUACAAAUCACUGCUUUACACUUUACACUUCAUAUCCAAUAAUGCAGCUCCAUAAUAACUGCUUCCAGGCUUCUGGGACAUGAGAAGCUUUAAAGCAUAACAGCAUUCUCAGGACUUUAUUUAUAGAUGUGUGUAGAGUGGGUAAUUAGUCUGUUUCUGUCCAUCUCAUUUAAUUUCUCCAGUGAACUAUUUGCAGUCUGCAGUGUGUUUAAUCCCCUCUCUGAAUGAUAUAGUAACUGGUUAUAUAUUGGUAUGAAUUGUGGGUAAUUACAGGCUGAAAACAGAUGAGAAGUGAUUCCACACAUUCACAGAUUUAUUAAUAGGUUACAGAAUGACAGCUACAGUCAUUAUUCCCCAAAUAAUAGAAUAAUGUAAAUGUGUAAAUAGCUCGUUUGCGGUGUCUGGACUAAAGAAGGCUUCAGAAAGUCACAUCAGAAAAUCCUCCUUCUUAAUGUAACACAUUUUGAUCUGCAAACGAUCUUCCUGUAGUUGUGGAAAUGGUCAUUAAAUGGUAACAGCGCCACCUGCAGUACUGGAGCAGUCAUACAACACAACCAGUACGAAACUGCAGAGUGUGUGAGCUCAUAAAGGUGGUUUUAUCUUCACACAGCGCUCACACCCCUCAUCUCCAUGUUCCAUAUGCUGAGGCUUUAACACAGCUGGAGUAAACAUGUUCAUCUUACAGUGUUGAUAUUCCAGCUCUCUAUUCACUUUCUGGAAACAGCUGAGUUCAUGUUAUACAGUAUUGGUUUUUGUUUAUUUUAUAUAAACAAACAUUUUGAAUAUAUUUUUUUAAAAGGCACCCCGACUAUGAGCUCCUGUAGGCCUUAACACGCAAUAAUUUCCCUCUCCUAUUAAAAUAUGUUGUUAGAAACACAAAUAUGUUAAUUACUUUAAAAAUCCCCUCAGUAUCUGUGCUUUUAACUUUAUAUAACCCCAAAUGUCCUCUGCGCUCCUCUCGAGAUGUUUACUGGCUGUCCCACAGACACGGCUGUGAUCUGUAGGGGAAAGGGCUUUCUCAUGCUAAGCUCCUAGACUGGAAUGCACUCAUAUUAGAGAUGUAGAGUUGAAACAUUUUUCAUUUUUAGGUUAGCGUUUUCUUGAUGAUUUUAACCAUUUUGUAUUCAAGUCUGUUUUUUGAAUGUUUUGUGUUUUUAAUUUUCUUGGUAUUUUCUUAUUGCGUAAAGUGCCUUGAGAAGCUGCUUUAAAGGUGCUAUAUGAAAAAUAAAGUUGUUUAUUAUUAUUAUUAUUAUUAUUAUUAUUAUUAUUAUUAUUAUUAUUAUUUAAUAAAUAUUUUAACAUACGGCGUCCACCAUUACGUGACAUGCGCAGUGCUCUCUGAGUCGAUGUAAAAUGGCUGCACUUGAACACUCAGGAGAAUGAGCUAUUAGCUGUUGUGUGUAAUGUUCUAGCCAAUACAUACCCAAAGUAAACUUAAAGCUGUUCCUGAAUCAUUUGGAGCGCAUGCAUGGUUUUGGUCUCUUUUGAAAGCAGGACUAAAUAUUUUUAUGUAAUUGGAUUGUUUGAACCUUUGAAGUUAUGUGUAAUAA